AGUUAUAUGUCUUGCCGAAAGAGGCGUAACAAUCGCGACAACGAGGUCGCUACAAUACCGAAAUGUAACAUAUAGUAUACAAAUGGCGGUUCUGAAUGUUAUCAUGGGUUGUUCGAAUGUUUAAUAGUACAUAUGAUUUCAACAAGUUUUUCACGAUUAUAAAAUUAUAAAUAAUGGCCGAAAAGGAAAGUGAUAGUACGACAAGUGAAGUUGUGAAAACCGAAGAUUUAACUGAUAACACAGGAAAUGAAGAAGCACCAACAAGUUUGGAAACUAUAGCACAGGAUACUAAUACUACUCGAAAUGGUGGUCCUCCAGUUACUUCAAAGGACAAAGAGAAAAUUGAUAUCUUAUUAAAAGCAACUGGCAACGCACCUAUCAUGAAGCAGAAAAAAUGGUCCGUUAAUCAGGAUAAUCAAAUUGGAAAGAUUUCAGAUUUUAUAAGGAAGUAUCUCAAAUUAGAAUCCUCUGAAAGAUUAUUUCUUUAUGUAAAUCAAACUUUUGCACCAGCACCAGAUCAAACAGUAAAAAACUUAUACGAUUGUUACGGUGCUGAUGGGAAAUUGAUCAUUCAUUAUUGCAAAAGUCCAGCAUGGGGUUAACUGUGAUCAUUCUUUGAUGCUUAAGCAUCGUAUGGUAUCAUUUUAUUAACGCGGACAUGAGUGGAGAGACUAGCGCCGCACAGCGGCAGCAGUUGGCAACAGCGACAGGUUAUCUAUCCUGCGCCACUGGCGUUGUCACUUUUCCGCAUUCACUCAUCACCGAUAAUGGUGUAUAAGGAAAACAUUAAAUUUCAAUACAAAUGAAAAUACUAAUUUUCAUACAAAUAUUUAUAAUAAUGUAUAUAAUUCAAUGUUUACAUUUGUUACAUUUGUUCUUUUUCAAACAUGCGAAACUUAUGAUCGAUUAAAAAAAUAGUAAUUUGUUCGAUCGUAUCAACAUAAAAAAUCUUUACUUUAAAGUAAUAAUAAUAAUGAUAAUAAUAAUAAUAAUAAUAAUAAUAAUAAUAAUAAUAAUAAUAAUAGGAAACGGAAGAAUCCGAAAGAAUUUUUUUAACUUACAAUUGAAUUUUGAAAAUGAAAAAUAUGUUAUUGCUUAUAUACUAUAUAUGUAUGUACGAUAAUAAUUUUAAAAGAUUUGUUGAAUUCUGUAAUAUAGAGUAACUCUUUAUAAUCUUAUGCUUUAUCCAGCGACAAUCAUACAAUUGCGUAGAUUUAUCUCGACGAUCUAUGCAAUAUGUCUGCCUUUAAAAGUAAAAUUAUUCUUCAUGUAGAUUUUAAUAAAACUGUGAUUGCCCUUAUGGACAUGACCAAAGGGACAAUAUAUUAUGUAACUGUGUUUCAAAGGGUUUCAUAAAAGGCUUGUUUAAAAAAUAAUAAUUUUUACAUCUCA